UACGUAGGGUGCGAGCGUUAAUCGGAAUUACUGGGCGUAAAGCGUGCGCAGGCGGUUUUGAAAGUCAGCUGUGAAAGCCCCGGGCUUAACCUGGGAAUUGCGGUUGAAACUACAGGGCUAGAAUCUGGCAGAGGGGGGUGGAAUUCCACGUGUAGCAGUGAAAUGCGUAGAGAUGUGGAGGAACACCGAUGGCGAAGGCAGCCCCCUGGGCUGAGAUUGACGCUCAGGCACGAAAGCGUGGGGAGCAAACAGG
rnacentral:rRNA from 1 species